ACAAUCCAACAAGAACAUCAUUUCCUCAUAGAUGAAAAAUGUUCUAGUGCAAGUAUAAAACAUGCUUGAAAUCCAAACCCUCCUGCAAUAGCGGAUCUGCAGGUGCUUGAGCUGGAAGAAAGAGCAUAGAAGGUUCACUUUUUCUGACAAUAGUGAAUAAAGG